AAAAAAACAGAACCAUUCGAAAACAGAGAAGGAAAGAAGAAAAGAAAGAAAAGAGAGAAAUAGGGUUUUUAAAGUUUGGGGUUUAAUUUGCUAACAAAGAACCUAAGACAUCAGCACCGAAAGGAAAGGAAAAAGUUAUCGAGGAGUAAUCGCGAAAUUUCGGUUAGUAGAAAUUAAGGUUCCGGCUCAGCAUUCAGGGUGAUCCCGACUCCAGUAUAAAAUUUGGUGAUGUAAUCUUUCUUUUGGUAAACUGGCAUGUACUUAAGUGUUAUAUUGGUCACUUGAAAGUGUCUUCUGUUUUUGGUUGAAAAUGAAUAUUUUGAAACUUGGUGUAAUGAA